GACGAACGCUGGCGGCGUGCUUAACACAUGCAAGUCGAACGGAAAGGCCCUGCUUUUGUGGGGUUCUCGAGUGGCGAACGGGUGAGUAUCACGUGAGUAUCCUGCCCUUGUCUUUGGGAUAACUUCAGGAAACUGGGGCUAAUACCGUAUAGCAUCUCCUGCUCCAUGGUGGGGGUUGGAAAUUUUCGGCGGUUGGGGAUGGACUGGCGGCUUAUCAGCUUGUUGGUUGGGUAGUGGCUUACCAAGCCUUUGACGGGUAGCCGGCCUGGGAGGGGGGACGGCGACAAUGGGACUAAGGGACGGGCCAGACUCCUACGGGAGGCAGCAGGGGGGAGUAUUGCACAAUGGGCGGGAGCCUGAUGCAGCAACGCCGCGUGCGGGAUGACGGCCUUCGGGUUGAAAACAGCUGUCGCCUGAGACGAAGCGUGAGUGACGGUAAUGGAUAAAGAAGCACCGGCUAACUACGUG
rnacentral:rRNA from 1 species